rnacentral:tRNA from 1 species
AUUUAGGUAGCUUAAUUAAGAGUUUAACUUUGAAAAUGUUAAGAUGGUUUUUAACCCUUAAAUA